UCCUCGAUGGUCUAGUGGUAUGUACUACCGCUCUUCAGAUAUGACAUUCUCUCUAACAAUGUACAGGUCAUGAUUUCCGCUUGUCAUACAAGACAACCAUCUGGUUGCGUUACAAGCGCGGGAGACCAGGGUUCGAUUCCCUGUCGGGGAG